rnacentral:rRNA from 1 species
CAGCAGCCACGGGAAUACAGAGGGUGCGAGCGUUAAUCGGAUUUACUGGGCGUAAAGCGUGCGUAGGCGGCUAAUUGAGUCGGAUGUGAAAUCCACGAGCUUAACUUGGGAAUUGCAUUCGAUACUGGUUAGCUAGAGUGUGGGAGAGGAUGGUAGAAUUCCAGGUGUAGCGGUGAAAUGCGUAGAGAUCUGGAGGAAUACCGAUGGCGAAGGCAGCCAUCUGGCCUAACACUGACGCUGAGGUACGAAAGCAUGGGGAGCAAACAGGAUUAGAUACCCCCGUAGUCCCUGUCUCUUAUAA